GGGGCUGUAGUGUAGCUUGGUUAUCACUUAGGCUCGGGGAGCCUACAACUCGAGUUCAAAUCUCGGCGGCCCCA
rnacentral:tRNA from 1 species